rnacentral:sRNA from 1 species
CUUGGUCAUUUAGAGGAAGUAAAAGUCGUAACAAGGUCUCCGUUGGUGAACCAGCGGAGGGAUCAUUACCGAGUACUAUAACUCAUAACCCUUUGUGAACCUUUAUACCUGUUGCUUCGGCGGCGCGCCUCCCGGGGCGUGCCCGCCGGCAUUAUCAGAAUCUCUGUUCGAACCCGACGAUACAUCUGAGUGUUCUAAGCGAACUGUUAAAACUUUCAACAACGGAUCUCUUGGCUCCAGCAUCGAUGAAGAACGCAGCGAAACGCGAUAUGUAAUGUGAAUUGCAGAAUUCAGUGAAUCAUCGAAUCUUUGAACGCACAUGGCGCCUUCCAGUAUCCUGGGAGGCAUGCCUGUCCGAGCGUCGUUUCAACCCUCGAGCCCCCGUGGCCCGGCGUUGGGGAUCUGCCCAGGCAGUCCCCGAAAACCAGUGGCGGACCCGUUGGGCCCUUCCUUUGCGUAGUAACAUCUGCCUCGCAUCGGGAGCCUGCGGGCUAUCCGGCCUCUAAACCCCCCUCAAGCCCGCUCCGGCGGCACCAAGGUUGACCUCGGAUCAGGUAGGAAUACCCGCUGAACUUAAGCAUAUCAAUAAGCGGAGGAAAAGAAACCAACAGGGAUUGCCUCAGUAACGGCGAGUGAAGCGGCAACAGCUCAAAUUUGAUAUCUGGCUCCUUCGGGGCCCGAGUUGUAAUUUGCAGAGGAUGCUUCGGGUACGGGUUCCUUCCGAGUUCCCUGGAACGGGACGCCAUAGAGGGUGAGAGCCCCGUCUGGUAGGACACCCAGCCCGUGUGAAGCUCCCUCGACGAGUCGAGUUGUUUGGGAAU